GGCCCAUAGGUUGGGUCGUGACAGAAUCGAGGGGUGUUCUUCGGGUUGGUGUUGUCAGCAGCAACAAUGCUUCUCAAUGGGAGUGCCCUCCUGAUCCUAUAUAUGGGUUCGUUAAAUGCAAUAUCAAUGCAGUUGUCUUCGAGAAUCAAUUUGCAGGUCUUGCGCGAUGCCCGUGUAAUUGUAAUCUCUGCUAUGACUUGUUCACUACCUAGUUAUUUGCAUCAAGAAAGGCUGAAGCUAGAGGUUUUCGGGAAGCCAUUAAUUAUAGUUAGGUGGGUCUUGCGAGAGGAGGUCCAUCGGGUUAUCUUUGAGUCUGAUGCACAAGAAAUUCUGCAUGCAUUGAGUUCACGUGCUGACAAUGUAUCUGAGUGUGGUACUAUUAUUGCUGAUUGCAAGCUGCUUUUGAUACGAGGAGCUUUUGAUCCGAGGAGAUGAACUUUAUUGGGAGUGGGUUAAGAGGCAAGCUAGCAAUGUGGCUCAUAGCUUCUCUUGUUUGUAUGCUUCUCCUUGUUAGGACGAGCUUCCUUCUUGUACUACUAAUUCACUUUCUGAUUCGUUGGUCAAGU
rnacentral:misc_RNA from 1 species